AAGUAGGAUUUUAAGAGCAAACCACAGAACAGAAAAAUAUUUGUAACAGCAACUGAGAGCUCGCUAUACAGAAACACUAGCAGCUCACGCCAUCGCUACCAGAGGGCAGUCGCUCGCUGGGAAGCGGCAAGAGCUUACAGAGGAGUAAUUAAAGGGCAUCGUCACAAGGAAGCAUGGCGAAUCCCAUUUGAAAGCUGAAGAAUUACACAUUCUACCUUGAAGGGACAAUCAGACAGCAGCAGAUACACAGAAAAGCCAGUGGUGGUGGAGGAACCGGCAGAGUCUUUGCGGACAGCUCUGUCAUUGGUCCAGUCUUUCCAGAGAGGAUGGGGACAUGACGAGGUGGCUGCUCAUUCUUCUUGGGCGUCGAGGACAACAUCACCGAGGGGAACACUUCCCAAGGAAGUAACCACGGGGAGAAGAGAAAGGUCACCUUUACGAAAAUGCUUGUGGCUACAGACAGCAACAGCUGGGCCCAGAGCUGGUCCAUGGCGAGUACCUGCGAAGAAGCAGCUCACGGACUACGGAAGACUCA